GGGGGUGGGAGCCGCCCGGAACCCGGAUUCUCCCUGCCAGGGCUGCAGGGUAGGGGGUUGCUGAAUUGCCAGCCCUACGCUCAGCGACCACAGAGGCAUGAGGACACCCUUGAACGGCCCCGUUCUGAGCCUGGUACAGCGGACGGUGCUUCCUGUUCCUCCUAGAGCCUCCCUGAUAGAGGCGACCUGCUUCUUUCAAAUUCGGUCACUGUUCUCUCGCCUUCUUGCGCACAGAGCGAGGAAGAUGAGGCUGCAGUGGAUGGGUGUCUCGCUCCACAUCCUAUCCCGCGAGUCCCGUAGCUCCAUCAUUCUGGACAACAGACCUGUGACCCUGGCCCUGCACUCUGCUCACAUGUCUCUGUGCACUUGCGUGUGAGCAAAGGAGCUACAGUUGCCGUGAUUGCGGGUUUCUGGGCAAAUCCUGGAGGCAGAAGCAGUGGCAGAAGAGUGGGCCCUGGAGGUACAGCUGGUUCCUCCAGAAGGAUCCCUCGUGCUGUACAACAGUGCUGUGGACGGGACAUGAAGAGUCAGAAGACUUGGAAGUCUUCCUUCACCCUUUAAAUGGCCUUGGCUGUUGGGGCGACUCGAUGUCACUAAGCCAGGCUUCCCAUCUGUAACAUGGGGCCACACCACCCUGCCGACCCUUACAGAGCUACACAAGGAACACGCAGAAGGCGAGACCGCGCCAUGUGAGACUGAGGUUAUUGGCACACCGUGGUCCCCACUGCGAAUCCGGCACCACCCACUUCAGGUGCACUGGGCGUGCACAUCGAAUGCAAAAAAAAAAAAAAAUCAAAAAAUUCUG